UACGGGAGGCAGCAGUGGGGAAUAUUGCACAAUGGGCGAAAGCCUGAUGCAGCUAUGCCGCGUGUAUGAAGAAGGCCUUAGGGUUGUAAAGUACUUUCAUCGGGGAGGAAAAAACAAAACUAAUAAUUUUAUUUCUUGACGUUACCCGAAAAAGAAGCACCGGCUAACUCCGUGCCAGCAGCCGCGGUAAUACGGAGGGUGCUAGCGUUAAUCAGAAUUACUGGGCGUAAAGAGCACGUAGGUGGUUUUUUAAGUCAGAUGUGAAAUCCCUGGGCUUAACCUAGGAACUGCAUUUUGAAACUGAAAUACUAGAGUAUCGUAGAGGGAGGUAGAAUUCUAGGUGUAGCGGUGAAAUGCGUAGAUAUCUGGAGGAAUACCUGUGGCGAAAGCGGCCUCCUAAACGAAUACUGACACUGAGGGUGCGGAAAGCGUGGGGAGCAAACAGGGAUUAGAUACC
rnacentral:rRNA from 1 species